rnacentral:rRNA from 1 species
GACUCUCGGCAACGGAUAUCUCGGCUCACGCAUCGAUGAAGAACGUAGCAAAAUGCGAUACUUGGUGUGAAUUGCAGAAUCCCGUGAACCAUCGAGUUUUUGAACGCAAGUUGCGCCCGAAGCCAUCUGGUUGAGGGCACGUCUGCCUGGGCGUCA